rnacentral:rRNA from 1 species
UACGCAGGGUGCGAGCGUUAAUCGGAAUUACUGGGCGUAAAGCGUGCGCAGGCGGUUCGUUGUGUCCGUCGUGAAAGCCCCGGGCUUAACCUGGGAACUGCGAUGGAAACUAGCGAGCUGGAGUGUGGCAGAGGGGGGUGGAAUUCCGCGUGUAGCAGUGAAAUGCGUAGAUAUGCGGAGGAACACCGAUGGCGAAGGCAAUCCCCUGGGCCUGCACUGACGCUCAUGCACGAAAGCGUGGGGAGCAAACAGG